UCUUUGGUUAUCUAGCUGUAUGAGUAUUGCUGAUCCAUCAUAAAGCUAGAUAACCGAAAGUA
rnacentral:pre_miRNA from 1 species